rnacentral:hammerhead_ribozyme from 1 species
UUUUAAAUGCACGAGUCCCAAAUAGGACGAAAUGCGCAUCCUGGAU